UGGGCAACAUGGAGAAACCCCAUCUCUACAAAAAAAAAAAAAAAAAAAAAAUUGGCUGGGCACAGUGGCAUGCACCAUUAGUCCCAGCUACCCCGGAGGCUGAGGUGGGAGGAUCACCUGAGCCUGGGAGAUCAAGGCUGCAGUGAACCGUGAUAUUGUGUUACUGUACUCCAGCCUGGGUAGCAGAGCAAGACCCUGUAUUUAAAAAAAAAAAAAAGGCUAUAAUGUUGUUUCUUCCAGUUCCUAGGAUCGUCUCACACACUUGCUGGGACUUCAUAGACCAGAAUUUCCACAAAGUAAGGCAAGAUGAAAAUUUACAUGAGAAAACCUAAAUCCGCAGUCUACUUUGAAAAUAUGAAUUCCCUUCAUUCUAAGGUAGACAGAAAUCUUGUGCUAGAAGAUGAUGCCCAAACCCUAUUGGACCUUCGGAUUUCUUUGCGAACAUUGACUUGCGUGAAAACUAUCAUUUCUGACUUUAUUCUGCCUUUUAUCAAAAGCAACAUUUUUUUUAACCAUAGAAAAGCUUAUGCCAAAACUAUUUCCUGUAAACCCUCCUAUCUCGCUGAGAACCUUCAUUCUUCUCAGUAUUUCCAUGUAGUUCUUUUGCUAGAGCCUUUUAUGAAGUCAGUUCAGUGAUAGAUCAAACACAUAACCUGGUUUUCCUCUUCAUUGGUUUCAAUAUUAGAAAUCUCAUCACCCUUUUCUAGCUUCAUUUUUAGAAGGUUAAAGGUGGGGGCCAUUUUAAUUUUAAAAGCCGGACACUUCUGGUAUUCAGUAAGGGUCCCUGUGCAAUUCACCGACAACCUUUUAUGGUGUUUCCAUCUCCGUGUUGCUAUGUCUUUCUGAUAAUAUCCUCGGAAUUAGUAUUUCAUCUUCUGAUAUCUUCCCCAAAGUUGUCAAUUCUCAGUACUUCCUUUUGUGUUAAAGAGAACUCAGUUUCUUCCAGCAUUUUCACAAAUUUUAAUUGACAAAAAUUGUGUUUAUUUGUGGUAUACAACAUGAUGUUUUGAAAUAUGGAUGCAUUGUGGAAUGCUAAAUUGAGCUAAUUAAUGUAUGGACUACCUCACACAUCUUUUUUUUUUUUUUUGCGUUGAGAACAGUUAAUAUCUCUCUUAGUGAUUUUCAAGUAUACAAUAUUAACUACAGUCACUGUGUUGUAUGAUGGAUCUUCGUUCCAGGAUUUUUAAAUGUAUUUCAAAGAUGACAGUCUGUAACAACAUGAUCUUUAAAUAAACUUUAUUAUCCACCACUA
rnacentral:lncRNA from 1 species